AUUGAACGCUGGCGGCAGGCCUAACACAUGCAAGUCGAACGAGUGGCGGACGGGUGAGUAAUGUCUGGAAAACUGACUGAUGGAGGGGGAUAACUACUGGAAACGGUAGCUAAUACCGCAAACCAUCAGAUGUGCCCAAAUGGGAUUAGCUUGUGGGUGGGGUAACGGCUCACCAAGGCGACGAACCCUAGCUGGUCUGAGAGGAGGACCAGCGACACUGGAAUUGAGACACGGUCCGGACGCCAACGGGAGGCAGCAGUGGGGAAUAUUGCACAAUGGGCGCAGGACUGAUGCAGCCAUGCCGCGUGUAUGAAGAAGGCCUUCGGGUUGUAAAGUACUUUCAGCGAGGAGGCGUUACCCGCAGAAGAAGCACCGGCUAACUCCGUGCCAGCAGCCGCGGUAAUAC
rnacentral:rRNA from 1 species